rnacentral:rRNA from 1 species
AGAUACCCCACUAUGCUUAGCCGUAAACCCUAGUAGUCACAAAAACAAGACUAUUCGCCAGAGUACUACUAGCAACAGCCUAAAACUCAAAGGACUUGGCGGUGCUUCAUAUCCCUCUAGAGGAGCCUGUUCUGUAACCGAUAAACCCCGAUCAACCUCACCAACCCUUGCUACUUCAGUCUAUAUACCGCCAUCUUCAGCAAACCCCUAAAGGGAAUGAAAGUAAGCAUAACCAUCCUACAUAAAAACGUUAGGUCAAGGUGUAACCUAUGAGUUGGAAAGAAAUGGGCUACAUUUUCUACACUAAGAACAUCUCCUAUACCCACACGAAAGUUUUUAUGAAAUUUAAAAACCAAAGGAGGAUUUAGUAGUAAAUCAAGAGCAGAGUGCUUGAUUGAAUAAGGCCAUGGAGCACGCACACACCGCCCGUCACCCUCA